AGAGUUUGAUUCUGGCUCAGGAUGAACGCUAGCGGCAGGCUUAACACAUGCAAGUCGAGGGGCAGCAUGGGGAGUAGCAAUACUCUCUGAUGGCGACCGGCGCAAGGGUGCGUAACGCGUGAGCAACUUGCCCUCAUCAGGGGAAUAAUCGCUGGAAACGGCGUCUAAUGCCCCAUGGCGAUGGAAUCAGGCAUCUGGUUCCAUCUAAAGAUCCGUCGGAUGAGGAUAGGCUCGCGUGACAUUAGCUUGACGGCGGGGUAACGGCCCACCGUGGCGACGAUGUCUAGGGGUUCUGAGAGGAAGGUCCCCCACACUGGAACUGAGACACGGUCCAGACUCCUACGGGAGGCAGCAGUGAGGAAUAUUGGUCAAUGGCCGGAAGGCUGAACCAGCCAUGCCGCGUGAAGGUCAGUGCCCUAUGGGCGUUAAACUUCUUUUGUGCGGGAGCAAUAAGGUCCACGUGUGGACCGACGAGAGUACCGUACGAAUAAGCAUCGGCUAACUCCGUGCCAGCAGCCGCGGUAAUACGGGGGAUGCAAGCGUUAUCCGGAUUUAUUGGGUUUAAAGGGUGCGUAGGCUGUG
rnacentral:rRNA from 1 species